CAAAACACUCAAAAUUGUACCUAUUCUUUCUACCCAGUAAAGGGGUUUCUCCAAUAUUUCAGAAAAAUUAUUUCAGUAAAUAUCAAAAUUAUAGAUAGGGAACUCUACUAGUGACCUACCUAAUUUUAUUGUAGAAAAUUUCGGGAUCAAUGAUUGGACCAUGCAAACUAAAAAAACCUUUUCGUCGAUAAAGAAAGAGAUUACUCGAUCCAUUUCCCUAUCGCUCAUCAUAUAUAUAAUAACUCAGGCACCCAUUUCAAAUGCCUAUCCCGUUUUUGCACAGCAGGGUUAUGAAAAUCCACGAGAAGCAACGGGCCGUAUUGUAUGUGCCAAUUGCCAUUUAGCUAAUAAACCCGUGGAUAUCGAGGUUCCACAAGCGGUACUUCCGGAUACUGGAUUUGAACUAGCCCCGCCCGAUCGUAUUUCGCCCGAGAUUAAAGAAAAGAUAGGAAAUCUGUCUUUUACAAAGUUACCGCCCUACUAAAAAAAAUAUUCUUGUGAUAGGUCCUGUUCCUGGUCAGAAAUAUAGUGAAAUCACCUUUCCUAUUCUUUCCCCGGACCCUGCUACUAAUAAAGAUGUUCACUUCUUAAAAUAUCCCAUAUACGUAGGCGGGAACAGAGGAAGGGGUCAGAUUUAUCCCGACGGGAGCAAGAGUAACAAUAAUGUUUAUAAUGCUACAGCAGCGGGUAUAAUAAGCAAAAUUAUACGAAAAGAAAAGGGGGGAUACGAAAUAACCAUAGUGGAGGCAUCGGACGGGCGUCAAGUGGUUGAUAUUAUCCCUCCAGGGCCGGAACUUCUUGUUUCUGAGGGCGAAUCCAUCAAACUUGAUCAACCAUUAACGAGUAAUCCUAAUGUGGGCGGAUUUGGUCAGGGGGAUGCAGAAGUAGUACUUCAAGAUCCAUUACGUGUCCAAGGCCUUUUGCU